UUUGCCUAUGAGUCAUGACGAUCGAGUUAAAGUGUUUAUCAAGUUUUGCAAUAAUACAUAUAUUGAGUAUUAAUAAUUAAUUUAUUGUGAUCGACUUAUAUACUAAUCGCAAUUACGUAUUAUAUACGCGUUGACAAAAGAUGUAGAGUAAUAUACAAAUGAUUAUACUUCAUAACAACGUUUUCGUAUUCUUUCUUCUUUUUUUUUCUUAUUAUAAAACCCCCAAUUAAAGCAUUGCAACACAAAUUGUGAAACCAUGAUCGGUAGGCAUGUGGAUGCAUGUUGCUUAUUAUAAUUAAGAGGACGCGAUUGAAGGAAAAGUUAUUUAAAGAUUAAUGUGAUUAAAAAUAAUAAUAGAUGGAUCAAUCAAUGGUUAAUUACUUAUAAUCAAAAGUUAAUUAAAUCGAAUUAGCUAACUGUCUAAAUCCUGAUAUCAACUUGUACCCGAAUAGUUUCGUACUUUGUAUUGGCCAAAUUGUGUUUAACUUUAUAUAUAUUUUUAAAAAACUUUAUAUUAAAUAAUAACUUUUGUGUCUUAUACACUUUAAUUUGGUAACAAGUUUGAACUCCAAACUAUACAUACAAUAUUGCUUGUUUCGAACUUUCAGAGGUUCUCUCAUACACAAGUCUAUAUAGCAUACGCCUCGUCUGAAGUAAACCGAUUUGAUAGGCUACCAUGUUUUGCAUCUUCAAAGUUUGAUUUGAUAUUAUUUAUUUUUACUAUGUAAACGAUCAUUUUUAGAUUCCGUAUUCCAAAAUAAUAUUAAAAUUUAGUAUACAUAUUUUAAUAAAAAUAAAAUAUAGGUUAUAAUUUAAUAUCCAUACGAAGUGACAACGCUUGGUAUCCGAAAUGAAGGUCGACAUGAUCAAAUAAAGUUAUGAAUUUGUUUAAGGUGAAGGAACUGUUAAAUAAAAAGUGUUAUACCCAAAAAAAGUGUUAAAUAAAAAAACUAUAGUGCAUGAAGAGUCGUGCGUAAGAGAGAGGAGCUCUAUAAAUAGGGUUAGAUAUAGAAUAUAUAAAGAAGCUCUAUAUAAAUAACUAAAUAGGAGAUUAAUGAAAUCAUAAAAGAUGCUACUCGAAGCUUCUAAAUCUAGCCAGAUCAGCAUCUAACAAAUUCUCUUCCAUAUGCCACGUGAGAAAGGCAAAAUUUGAUCCCACACAAUCUUCAUUUUCAUGUUUGUCGUAAUAAUGUCGACUCCUCUUCCUCUUAUUCGUUGUAAUCGUUUAAUACUGCAUAAUCAAUUAAUCAUAUCAUUUAUUUGCUUCAUCUCUCCUCCAAAGGCCAAUCUAACUCUCUAUUUCAACGCUACUUCUCCAACCAGACUCUCUUCAAUGUACAGUCCUAUCCGAUGAACCACGGCUAGGUUUUUGUCUCCAACUUGACAAUCGAACCCAUUUUUUAGAUUGUUAAUAUACAAGAAAGAGGAAGGCUGAAGCUAGAGGGAUCUGGGAGAAAUCAUAAAAUUUGGUAUAGGUUCUAUGUUGUCGCUCUAUGUUACAAGUUCAAUGAGCGAUUGGCCUGCAUUUUUCAAUAAAAAAGAAUCAUACUAUAUUGUUUGAGAAAGUUGUCAUGGCCCUGAGUUAAGAAUCGAGGAUACUCCCAGUCUCUCAAGUACUUAAAAUACAUUUUAGAAACUGGAGAAAGUAAAUUCUAUUGCUGUAGUAAGUCAUGGUGUAAUGGAGUAUGUGUCAGAAAGGCUCAGAGCUCAUGUCAUCGUUAAAAAAAAAAAACUAUGCAAAUUCCAUAGUAAUCUCUUGACGUUUUUUCCAUCAUAAUUGAUUGAUAUGACUUUCUUUUGGUAUCCAGAAAGAAAUGAAGUGAUUAUUAAUGAUUGUCUAAGUACAAGGGUCAAAAGAAUUCAUGACGUGCUACACAAGUCACAAGCUAAUAACCUCUUUCUAUAUCACUCUAAAUUAUAAUCAUGGUAAA